rfam:Solanum lycopersicum cultivar Heinz 1706 chromosome 4, whole genome shotgun sequence.
ACUCACGCAAUGAGCACAUAGCGAACUAUUUUUUCGCCUUUUACUAAAGAAUACUGAGUGCGCGUUGCAAAUAGUGGCAUACGCCAAUUUUUUUUGAAGGGUAUCUCUUUGCUAGAUUCC